rnacentral:rRNA from 1 species
CCUACGGGUGGCAGCAGUGGGGAAUAUUGCACAAUGGUGGAAACACUGAUGCAGCGACGCCGCGUGAGCGAUGAAGGAUCUCGGUAUGUAAAGCUCUAUCAGCAGGGAAGAAAAUGACGGUACCUGACUAAGAAGCCCCGGAUAACUACGUGCAAGCAGCCGCGGUACUACGUAGGGGGCAAGCGUUAUCCGGAUUUACUGGGUGUAAAGGGAGCGUAGACGGCGGUUCAAGCCAGUUGUGAAAGGCUGGGGCUCAACCCCGGGACUGCAUUUCGAACUGUGCUGCUAGAGUGUCGGAGAGGCAGGCGGAAUUCCUAGUGUAGCGGUGAAAUGCGUAGAUAUUAGGAGGAACACCAGUGGCGAAGGCGGCCUGCUGGACGAUUACUGACGUUGAGGCUCGAAAGCGUGGGGAGCAAACAGGAUUAGAUACCCCAGUAGUC